rnacentral:rRNA from 1 species
GAUGAACGCUGGCGGCGUGCCUAAUACAUGCAAGUCGAGCGAACAGACGAGGAGCUUUCUCCUCUUACGUUAGCGGCGGACGGGUGAGUAACACGUGGAUAACCUACCUAUAAGACUGGGAUAACUUCGGGAAACCGGAGCUAAUACCGGAUAAUAUAUUGAACCGCAUGGUUCAAUAGUGAAAGACGGUUUUGCUGUCAUUUAUAGAUGGAUCCGCGCCGCAUUAGCUAGUUGGUAAGGUAACGGCUUACCAAGGCAACGAUGCGUAGCCGACCUGAGAGGGUGAUCGGCCACACUGGAACUGAGACACGGUCCAGACUCCUACGGGAGGCAGCAGUAGGGAAUCUUGCGCAAUGGGCGAAAGCCUGACGGAGCAACGCCGCGUGAGUGAUGAAGGUCUUCGGAUCGUAAAACUCUGUUAUUAGGGAAGAACAAAUGUGUAAGUAAAUAUGCACGUCUUGACGGUACCUAAUCAGAAAGCCACGGCUAACUACGUG